rnacentral:tRNA from 1 species
AUCUCGGUAGCUCAAUUGGCAGAGUAGCGGUCUCCAAAACCGAAGGUUGGGGGUUCGAUGCCCUCCCGGGAUGCCA